rnacentral:rRNA from 1 species
AUACCGUGGGAAAUCUAGAGCUAAUACGUGCAGUUCAUUGGCUCGUCUUCGGGCGAGUCAAAGCAUUUAUUAGACUAAACCAUCUACUAUGCUCGCAUAGUAAGGGGAAUCUGGAUAACUUUGCUGAUCGUAUGGCCCAGUGCCGGCGACGUUUCAAUUGAGUUUCUGCCCUAUCAACUUGUUGGUAAGGUAUUGGCUUACCAAGGUUGCAACGGGUAACGGGGAAUCAGGGUUCGAUUCCGGAGAGGGAGCCUGAGAAACGGCUACCACAUCCAAGGAAGGCAACAGGCGCGCAAAUUACCCAAUCUAGACAGUAGGAGGUGGUGAAGAGAAUUACUAGGUGGUGACUCAAUGAGUUACCAGUUUGGAAUGAACGUAACUUAAGAAAUUCGAUGAGAAACAACUGGAGGGCAAGUCCUGGUGCCAGCAGCCGCGGUAAUUCCAGCUCCAGUAGUUUGCUUUAAAGUUGUUGCGUUUAAAACGCUCGUAGUUGGAUCACGCAGCAGUGCCCAGUAAUCUGCUACUAGACUUUCCGAUGAAACCCGCUUCUGUGGUGUUUCAGGAAGUGUCCAUAGCAGAUACCAACGCUGAGCAUUGUUAGUUGCACGUGAGAUGAAUUGUUGGCCUUUAUUGAGCCGGUAUUCUCGUCUUGCGGAGUGUGCCUUGAAUAAAACAGAGUGCUUAAAGCAGGUCGUUGCCUGAAUGUUAUAGCAUGGAACGAACAAUCGUGUAUAUGUGUGUAUCCUAGAUUGGUGAUGAGCCUUAGGCUUUUUGUUGAUCGUGGA